UAGGAAAUAUCUUAUCAAAUCCCAAAGAAUCUAAUAAAUUAAUAGAGUAAAAUCCUAGAAAAUCUAGUAACUAAACCUUAAUAACUUUUCCCAAAAUAAGAAUCUAAACAUGAAAAAUUAUCGUAUGAUAAUCUAAUAGGAUUUUAAUUACUAAGUCCUUCAGGACAUCGAAUUUGCUAGUUAAGUUUGAUAUUAUGCCUCUUAAAAUUAUUCAACCCUUGUUUCGGCUCCAUUAUUUCAAAUUAUAAUGAAAGGAAUAGUAAUUUUUUGAAGAAUGUGUGGUUAAAAAGGAAGAAAAAGUUUUUAGGUUUAUGUGUAAUAUUAUUUUAUUGGAGAAUGUGCAGUUGAUAAGAAGAGAGAAAAAUAAAUUUUAAUUUAAUGGAGGCCAAAGAGGGGCUUAAUAACCUUUUCUUAAUUUGAUCUUCGUCCCGAUUUGCAAAAGGUCUCAAUAUAUUACUAUUUAAAUAGAAGUAUUGAAAAUUAUGCAUUUGGAAGAUCAAUAAUAAUUUGCUUGACUUUUAAGUGAAAAUGUUGAAAAAUUAAAAUUAAAAGCUUUUUUUUUUUUUUUUCCCUCUUCUUGUUAAAAGUAGAGUAAUGAUAAUAAUGUCAUUAGUUUUGGUAACAUGCAAGCAAAAUUCCAGAUCAGCUCAAUAUAAAAUUAGUAUUGUGUUUAUGAUUUUGGAUGUUCCAUCUAAUAGAUUGAAAUUCUAGGAUGGAAACCUAGUUCCCUAAAAGUAGUUUUAGAGCUAGACCAUAAACUUAUCCUUGUGAAUGAUGAAUCAUCAGUUGUAGCUAAAAGUAGGUCGUGGUCCCGCGUUGUAUUGCAAUAGUGAAAAAAUGUGUAGUUAGCUCUCAAGACUGGUAUUCUCACAUAAGGCAUUAUGCAAUAGAAGAGUCAAACAAUUUAGAAGAAGGAUUGAUUGAUUAUACCUUGACCGGGAUUGAGAUAUGUGGUACUUCAUUCGAGGGAGAUUAUUGGGAUACUGCAAGCAAAAUCCCACAUCAACUUAACGCGGGAUAAAUAAUAGCUUUGGGUUCAGGCUAUUCCACCUAAUAGGUUAAACUUUUGGUUGGAACCCAAGUCCCUACAAUUAUUUGUUCUUCUUUUGCUUGCAUUUGUUUUUCUGUUAUCCAAAUGGGUUUCAUUGAAGCAUGUUUUUGUUCUUCAAUCCUU
rnacentral:lncRNA from 1 species